rnacentral:lncRNA from 1 species
UGAUGAUGAUAGUGUCUUCAAAAUCAGUAUAAGGAAUAAAAAAAAUAGGGUUAAUUGCAUACAGGUCUCUGCAAAUAUAGUAAAUUAUAAAUAUAUCCUCGUAAAGUUUAAUUUUUAUAAAUUAUCCCUGUAAAAGUUUUGAUACUUUCAGAUAUGUCCCUACCGUUAGAAUCCGUUAGAAAAGUUUAGUUAACAAUACGUUAAAUACUUUAUCCGGAUUACUUUUUGACAUUUUUACAUCUCUUAUAUUAUACUGUUAUAACUUUUGGAGGGAUAUAUUUGUGAUGGCAAAAUUGAAAAUAUAAAUAGGUUUCUAACGGUUCUCUAACGGUAAUAAACCAGAGGGACAUAUUUGAAAAUCUUAGAAUUUUUGCAGGGAUAACUAAUGAAAGUUGAACAUUACAGGAAUAUAUUUGUAAUUCACUAUGUUUGAUGGAACCUGUAUGCAAUUAACCCAAAAAAAUAUGUAUAUGGUGACAACCAAGUCGAAGCGUAUUAUCCUGCCAAUUUUUAGGCAUUGUUUGAUUAUAUAUAGUUACAAUUGUAAUCCUGUUGUAAUUACAUAUAAAUUCAAAUCUGGCAUUUGGUUCGAAGUGUCUGAAUCCAACUGCUGCAGUUGGAACUGCAUGCGGAAGACCAAGCAGCAGUUAAAAAGAGUAAUUUUUUUACAAGAGAUAAGUUUAUCUCCUUAAUUAUAUUUUAAAUCAAAAUUAAUUUUCUUUUUAUACUGCAGAUAAUCUCACAACUAUAUAUAUA